CGCAUUAUGAAGCGUGAAACACGGCAACAGAGACCCCGGACUGUUGAACAGCUGAAGCUGUACAUCAAGCAAGAAUGGGAAAGAAUUCCACCUACAAAAAUUCGAAAAGGGUCGCGGGCGUGCUGGAGCCUAUCCCAGCUGUCAUCGGGCAGGAGGCGGGGUACACCCUGAACUGGUUGCCAGCCAAUCGCAGGGCACAUACAAACAAACAACCAUUCGCACUCACAUUCACACCUAUGGGAAAUUUAGAGUCUCCAAUUAAUGCAUGUUUUUGGGAUGUGGGAGGAAACCGGAGUGCCCGGAGAAAACCCACGCAGGCACGGGGGAGAAGAUGCAAACUCCACACAGGCGGGGCCGGGGAUUGAACCCGGGUCCUCAGAACUGUGAGGCUGACGCUCUAACCAGUCGUCCACCGUGCCGCCUCAAGCAGACUAGUAAAUUUCAAUUUUCAGUGCUUCAGCAAUUAAUAGAAUUAAAAACUUCCACUGGGCAUAUGAAAAUAAACUCAUCAUUCAGUACAAUGCACAAACUUAGCUGAGGAGACUAUAAACUCCCAUGAAAAAUAAAACCACUUCCAAAUAGAGUAGUGCCUGCUGCAAUUAGUGGAUGACUAUUAGUUGUUAAGAUGAGUCAAGUCUUGUAACUCAGUCAAUGUAAUCAAAUCAAGUACCGGCAAGCAUGACAGUGGAAACUAAGUCAACAGCUAAUCCAAAAAUUGGACUAUGAUCAGCAAAUACAAAAGAUUGAGCUGCAUGUAAGAACAAAACAACACAAAAUUCAGACUGUGAGAGACUCUAUUAAAGAAUAAUGAUGA